GACGAGAUAGCCAAGCCCGGUAUGGCGCAGGGUUGCUAACCCUGUGAUGGUUCCCAUCUCGGGGGUUCGAAUCCCCCUCUCGUCG
rnacentral:tRNA from 2 species